rnacentral:lncRNA from 10 species
GUGCCAUUGCUGAGAACUGUCCUCAUACCACACAGUGGCAGAGCUCACACUUGGAGGAAGAAUGAAUGAAUAUGGUCUGGGAAGACUUUUUCAACUCAUUCAGAUCCUGUGUGCAUUUAUUGAGCACCCAUUGUGUGCCAGUUGCCAUGAAAAGCUGUCGAACCAUCAGUGGCAACGCAGAGUGAGAGAAAAUGCGAAACUUCCGUUUCUUGCAUUGCUUCCAACCCUGGGUCUGUUCUGUGUGAUUGUGAUUGCAGGAGCUCAACUCAGGCUUGUUCUGUGAAGCCGGAACCCUUGGUGAUGGAGCCUCCGGGGAAUGAGCUGGUGCUGUGGCGCCCUCUGGUGUCCACGUGGCUUCCGCCAGGACUUGCAAGAGGCUGCGCAGAAGGCGCAAAGGAAGAUUUUUAAAAACAUCUGUCCAACUUUCCUUCCUCCUGCAAAAAGAAUGCUGCAGGUAGUGUGAGAGGUCUCAUGCCUGUCUCAUGCGCAAUAGUAUGAGUGAUAAGAUCGGCCUUUCAUGAGAAGAUAACGCAGCAAGCAUAACCCAAAUGGUGGGUCCCGGCCAGGGGGAUCUCUUCUCAGAACAGGUCUACGAAAGCCCAGGUUUGCUUUAGCUGUUUCUUUGCUAAAGCCAAACCCAGCUCUGCUUUCUCGAACAACCUGAGCCCGAAGGUCUUUACUCUACUCUGCUCUGUGUCUGCCAAGGACAAGAAAGAAGGAGAAAGGAUGCUGGGUCCGGAGAACGACUCCUUAGGAACGAGAAGAGAGAGGGACUAACAUAUACUUCCAGGACCCUGGUCCUGCCUCUGUGACCCGUCCUGCACUUUGAUCUCCUGGCGCUCCUCAGACUGGGCGGCUCCAGCUGUUUGACUCUGCAACUGACAUCGGUCAUACGCGCUCUGCUUUCACUCGGAGGCCGGGAUCUAGUCCCCAGCACUGGUCUCAUAACAGAUCACUGGAAGGAAGAAGCAUAGCCUGAUCACCCAGCCUGAUUGAGGAUGAAAUGGAAAUCUAGGGGUCAGAAGAAAAUGGGAAAGGAACCAUCAGCCUCAGUCAUUUCAACAGAGCCAACCCACAGACCAUGACCAAGCAAAUCUUGCCAUCGUGAUCAUGACCAGUUAGCAUUUAGAAUGUAUCGCUGUAUGCUUUGAUGAUUUUGAUGCUGCCUUUUUGGAUUUACCCUAUAAGAAAGACUCCCUGAACUCCAACACUAUCUCCAGCAUUAUUCACAUUUUCAGGCAGUGUGGUCCCCCAGCUAACAGCAUUAGCACCAGCUCAGAGCUUGCUAGAAAUGCAAAUGCUUAGACCUACUGAGUCAGGAAUUUGGGGCACGGGCCCAGCAAUCUGUGUUUUACAAAACCUCCCAGGUAAGCGAUAUAUGCUAGGACCCUUACAAGGGAAAACAGAGGGGAUCCAGUAUGUGCUGUGUACCUUCCUUGGCGUUUUCUUGUAUAUGAUUAUAUAGGUGGGGUCAGUUUGAGUGGUUGGUGAUCUGAGAUGAUGCUGAGCUUCAAAGAGGAAGACCUAUUGGACAGCUUUCCAUGUAUUUGCAGAUGAAGUGCCACCAUUUUGUUUGAAAUGAGUUUAUGUAUAAUACAUAUACAUUAUAUUUAAACAAGAAUACGUGUUACUAAGUAAAGUAUAAAAACCAAACAUACUCCUACCAUGUGAUCCAGCAAUUGUAUUCCUUAGUAUCUAUCCCCAAAGAAUUGACGACAUCGCUGGAUGUGAUGGCUCAUGCCUGUAAUCUCAGCACUUUGGGUGGCUGACGGGGGUGGAUCAUGAGGUCAGGAGAUCAAGACCAUCCUG